CGUCAUCUCUCUCCCUCCCUGCCACCGCCGCCGCCUCCCCUUCUCCCUCUCCGAUAGCCUCCGUCGCCCCUCCCUGCUGGUGCUCCUCCGGCUCUUCUCCUUAGCCGCCGCCCGCUCCCGCGGGUGAGCUCCGCCGCCUCCGUAGGCGCGCGAGCGCGAGAUCCACCAUCCCCGUCGUGCAUCUGAGAUCCAUGGCGGCCCCCCUGCGCUUCCUCCCCGGCUCCGACUCCUCCGCCUCGACCGGCCAAGGCUCAGCUCGACCUCCCUCCAUGUCGCCAACUCCCCGAUGCUGCCGCCCGCUUCACGGAAUCCAAAUCCGCCCACUCCUGCUCUCCUCCUGGCCCCCGGCCUGCCCCUCCGCGACCCGCCGUGGUGGGGCCGCCGAGCGUGCUCGCUCCUCCCGGCCGUCCGCGCGCGGGCGCCGCUGGUGCAACGCAUCGAUAACCUGGUGUCCAUGGACAUUGCGGCCAAUGCGCUCCUCACGGCGGGGGCAUCCCCGGCCAUGGUGCACUCCCUCCGCUAGGUGCCCGACUUCACCCGCGCUGCGACGCCGUGUACGUCAAUGUCGGCAUGCUCUCCGAGGAUAGGAUCCCCUCUAAGCGCGCCGUGGCCUCGGUCGGCCAGCCAUGGGUGCUCGACCCCGUGGCCGCCGCCGCUUCCGGGUAAUGGAUGGAGGUGUACCCCCGACGGCGUCGUAGGGAGGACAUGCAUGCUCAUCUGUUGCACCUGCAAGUUCCCCAUGAACAAAGAAUCCUUGCCAUUAAUCAAAAUGUGUAACUAUCUAAAGCUCAGAAGGCACUUUGUUUUGAUGAUAGAAGGAAAACAGAGACGAAGAAGAGAAAAUGAACUACUGUGCUUAGCUAAGCUUAUAUAUGGGUGUUUUAGAUGACCCGAAGUAUUCUUCCAAGAAAGACUGCAGGAGUGCUAGCAUGAGUUUUGGAUCAAUUCGCAUGAAUGAAGGCUUCAGAAAUACCUUAGUUAGGACAAAAAGGACAUGGAAUUUAUUUUCAUUUGUUAUUCGUUUAUGCUUGAAUGAGGUGAAAUCUUAGUGAGGGAUUGUACCUUCGUUUUGAGGUUUGGUUUACUUUACUACUAUUCUGAGAUGUCUGUUCGUCAAAUGGUGAUAACGAUGGUAGCCUGUUUACCUUCUGACAAUAAAGGAUGAAAAAUCUAUAUUAUCUUAAAUA